CCGGAUACGACCUGGUUGCGCAUGCUUCCGGGUGGAAAGCUCCGGCGGUGCAGGAUGAGCCCGCGGCCUAUCAGCUUGUUGGUGGGGUAAUGGCCUACCAAGGCGACGACGGGUAGCCGGCCUGAGAGGGCGACCGGCCACACUGGGACUGAGACACGGCCCAGACUCCUACGGGAGGCAGCAGUGGGGAAUAUUGCACAAUGGGCGAAAGCCUGAUGCAGCGACGCCGCGUGAGGGAUGACGGCCUUCGGGUUGUAAACCUCUUUCAGCAGGGAAGAAGCGCAAGUGACGGUACCUGCAGAUGAAGCACCGGCUAACUACGUGCCAGCAGCCGCGGUAAUACGUAGGGUGCGAGCGUUGUCCGGAAUUAUUGGGCGUAAAGAGCUCGUAGGCGGCUUGUCACGUCGGGUGUGAAAGCCCGGGGCUUAACCCCGGGUCUGCAUUCGAUACGGGCAGGCUAGAGUUCGGUAGGGGAGAUCGGAAUUCCUGGUGUAGCGGUGAAAUGCGCAGAUAUCAGGAGGAACACCGGUGGCGAAGGCGGAUCUCUGGGCCGAUACUGA
rnacentral:rRNA from 1 species